UAACUGUUUAAUUAUUUCGCGGGAUAAACCCGAUAGUUCGACUAUUCCAAUUAAAGGUCAAAACAACGAGUGCGUAGAACAAAGUGGUAUCGAAUUGUUUGCAAUAUAUUUUAUUUUUUUGUACAUUUACUACGCGUUUUGGGCUGCUGAUACGAUUUUUUUUUUUUUUAUCGUUAUUUAGAAUAAAACACCGAUGAUGUAGAAACGGGUUACAAUAUAUUAUCUCCGUCGACAUCGAAUAUUAAUCACAACAUACUUGAUUCGAAGUAUAAAUUGCUUGUGACAAAUAUAAACUGAAAAUAAACAGUAAAGCUAAAAAUACGUGUGCAGAAUAGACGUCGAACAAUAAUAAUAUGUUCUAUGACAAUACAGAACGCAGAAGACGGCGUAUGCGGGUAUUUACGUAUUUAUUAUUACCGUGUAUCACUAUACAAUGUUGUUAUAGUUAUUUGUCAAUUAGCAGAUAAGAUGUAGAGUGGGUAGUUCCCGGUGUAGGACAGAGACCCGUGCACAUACCAAUAAUUAUUUACUACUCGCGCAGUCACAAAUGACUCACGCACGCACUUUAAAUAUUGCCUAUACCGAACUCCUUAAAUGUACACCACCACCGAUCCCCUUAGCAUACAUUAAUAAGUAGCAAAGCCGUUCAAAUUGUACCUAAAUACUUACAAUCAAUAAACACAUAAUAUUAAUAAUACCACCAGCAUUAUUUUAUGACAUUAUUAUAACAAUCGUUGGUAUCAAAAUCCAAAAAAUUACCCAAGAUGUUUUAAUUAUAAUUUUUUUAAACAUAUACGUUAAUUUGAUUCACCAUGAAAAUGUACUUAUUUUUUUUGGUAUAAUUAGGCUUGCUCUUGAACAAAACUUCCAAUUCACAGCCCAGGUUAUGAG